CAGUAGCCACGGUAAAACGGAGGGUGCAAGCGUUAAUCGGAAUUACUGGGCGUAAAGCGCACGCAGGCGGUCUGUCAAGUCGGAUGUGAAAUCCCCGGGCUCAACCUGGGAACUGCAUCCGAAACUGGCAGGCUAGAGUCUUGUAGAGGGGGGUAGAAUUCCAGGUGUAGCGGUGAAAUGCGUAGAGAUCUGGAGGAAUACCGGUGGCGAAGGCGGCCCCCUGGACAAAGACUGACGCUCAGGUGCGAAAGCGUGGGGAGCAAACAGGAUUAGAUACCCCAGUAGUCCCUGUCUCUUAUAC
rnacentral:rRNA from 1 species